GCGGGUGUAGUUCAGUGGUAGAACGUCAGCUUCCCAAGCUGAAUGUCGUGGGUUCGAGUCCCAUCAUCCGCU
rnacentral:tRNA from 13 species